rnacentral:rRNA from 1 species
CCUACGGGAGGCAGCAGUGGGGGAUAUUGCACAAUGGGGGAAACCCUGAUGCAGCGACGCCGCGUGUGGGAAGACGGUCCUCUGGAUUGUAAACCACUGUUCCCAGGGACGAAGAUGACGGUACCUGGGGAGGAAGCUUCGGCUAACUACGUGCCAGCAGCCGCGGUCAUACGUAGGGAGCGAGCGUUGUCCGGAAUUACUGGGUGUAAAGGGAGCGUAGGCGGGACUGCAAGUUGGGUGUCAAAUCUACCGGCUCAACCGGUAGCCGCACUGAAAACUGCAGUUCUUGAGUGAAGUAGAGGCAGGCGGAAUUCCUAGUGUAGCGGUGAAAUGCGUAGAUAGUAGGAGGAACACCAGUGGCGAAGGCGGCCUGCUGGGCUUUUACUGACGCUGAGGCUCGAAAGUGUGGGGAGCAAACAGGAUUAGAUACCCGAGUAGUC